rnacentral:rRNA from 1 species
UAGGGAAUUUUGGGCAAUGGGCGAAAGCCUGACCCAGCAACGCCGCGUGUGGGAUGAAGGCCCUCGGGUCGUAAACCACUGUCAGGAGGAAAGAAAAGUCGGCCGGAUAAUACUCGGUCGACCUGACGGUACCUCCAAAGGAAGCACCGGCUAACUCCGUGCCAGCAGCCGCGGUAAUACGGAGGGUGCAAGCGUUGUUCGGAAUUACUGGGCGUAAAGCGCGUGUAGGUGGUCGAGUAAGUCGAAUGUGAAAGCCCCGGGCUCAACCCGGGAAGUGCAUCCGAAACUGCUCGACUAGAGUCCCGGAGAGGAAGGCAGAAUUCCCAAUGUAGGGGUGAAAUCCGUAGAUAUUGGGAGGAAUACCGGUGGCGAAGGCGGCCUUCUGGACGGUGACUGACACUCAGACGCGAAAGCGUGGGGAGCAAACAGGAUUAGAUACCCAAGUAGUCCCUGAG